rnacentral:lncRNA from 1 species
UAAUACACCAAACCAUCAACCAUCACUUACACCCAACAACCUACAUGUAACACCUAACAACUUUUCAACCUAACACAACAACCUUAUACCGCUAGCCAACAUUGCCAUCAAUCAUACACAUCAUGUAACCUAACUCCCUACAACACCCAACAAAACAAUCCAAAAUUUACCCCUCAACAUCAUACACCUAACCACAAAC